UAGGGAAGCCGUAGAGAAAUCGAGUCCGAAUAGGGCGUUCAGUCGCUGGGUGUAGACCCGAAACCAAGUGAUCUACUCAUGGCCAGGAUGAAGGUGCGGUAACACGCACUGGAGGUCCGAACCCACUAAUGUUGAAAAAUUAGGGGAUGAGCUGUGGGUAGGGGUGAAAGGCUAAACAAACUUGGAAAUAGCUGGUUCUCUCCGAAAACUAUUUAGGUAGUGCCUCAAGUAUCACCAUCGGGGGUAGAGCACUGUUAUGGCUAGGGGGUCAUCGCGACUUACCAAACCAUUGCAAACUCCGAAUACCGAUGAGUGCGAGCUUGGGAGACAGACGUCGGGUGCUAACGUCCGGCGUCAAGAGGGAAACAACCCAGACCGCCAGCUAAGGUCCCAAAGAUUGGCUAAGUGGAAAACGAAGUGGGAAGGCUAAAACAGUCAGGAUGUUGGCUUAGAAGCAGCCAUCAUUUAAAGAAAGCGUAAUAGCUCACUGAUCGAGUCGUCCUGCGCGGAAGAUGUAACGGGGCUAAGCCAGUCACCGAAGCUGCGGAUAU
rnacentral:rRNA from 1 species